GUGAGGAAUAUUGGACAAUGGGGGGAACCCUGAUCCAGCCAUGCCGCGUGUGUGAAGAAGGCCUUUUGGUUGUAAAGCACUUUAAGCGAGGAGGAGGCUACCGAGAUUAAUACUCUUGGAUAGUGGACGUUACUCGCAGAAUAAGCACCGGCUAACUCUGUGCCAGCAGCCGCGGUAAUACAGAGGGUGCAAGCGUUAAUCGGAUUUACUGGGCGUAAAGCGCGCGUAGGUGGCCAAUUAAGUCAAAUGUGAAAUCCCCGAGCUUAACUUGGGAAUUGCAUUCGAUACUGGUUGGCUAGAGUAUGGGAGAGGAUGGUAGAAGUCCAGGUGUAGCGGUGAAAUGCGUAGAGAUCUGGAGGAAUACCGAUGGCGAAGGCAGCCAUCUGGCCUAAUACUGACACUGAGGUGCGAAAGCAUGGGGAGCAAACAGGAUUAGAUACCCUAGUAGUCC
rnacentral:rRNA from 1 species